CCUGAGAGGGUGACCGGCCACAUUGGGACUGAGACACGGCCCAAACUCCUACGGGAGGCAGCAGUGGGGAAUAUUGCACAAUGGGCGAAAGCCUGAUGCAGCAACGCCGCGUGAGUGAAGAAGUAUCUCGGUAUGUAAAGCUCUAUCAGCAGGGAAGAAAAUGACGGUACCUGACUAAGAAGCCCCGGCUAACUACGUGCCAGCAGCCGCGGUAAUACGUAGGGGGCAAGCGUUAUCCGGAUUUACUGGGUGUAAAGGGAGCGCAGACGGCACUGCAAGUCUGAAGUGAAAGCCCGGGGCUCAACCCCGGGACUGCUUUGGAAACUGUAGAGCUAGAGUGCUGGAGAGGCAAGCGGAAUUCCUAGUGUAGCGGUGAAAUGCGUAGAUAUUAGGAAGAACACCAGUGGCGAAGGCGGCUUGCUGGACA
rnacentral:rRNA from 1 species